AGCUGGUGCCUUGGUCCUUGACACACAUUUGUGCUCAGGUACCAUUUACCAUAAGAGGCAGACUCUAACUCUCACAUGGCUCUUCAUCUCUCCCUCCUCCUCCUACUCCUCAUCUUCUACAGACUCUCAGCAGUGGGGUAUGUUUCUGUGCAGACAGGAGGCUCCAUCACCUUCCCAUGUAGCUAUGAUCAGUAUUACAUCAACCAUGUGAAAUACUGGUGUCAAGGAUUAGGUUGGGAUGUAUGUUCGUAUGUAGUACGUACUGACCAUCCUAAGAGCAGUGGUAAGACCUCAAUCUCUGAUGACAUCAACAAGAGAAUCUUCACUGUGACCAUGACUGACCUGGUGUCAAGGGACUAUGGGAAUUACAGGUGUGUUGUGGAGAUCAAUGGAGGAACAGAUAUCAUGAUACAAUGGUUCUACCUGUCUGUCACUCCAGGUACUCCAGAACUCUAUGUGGAACAACAGGAAGUGACUGGAGUAGAAGGAGGGAGUGUCACUGUCUGUUGUUACUAUAGUAACUCUGGAGACAUGAAGUGGUGCAGGAUGGGUGGUGAUUGUGUGAGUGUGUUUUCUGGGACUUUAAAUGGAACAUCAGUGACAUUAAUGCGGACUAGUGAUGCCAUCAACAGAAAAGUCUUAACAGUGACUAUGAGUGGACUGAAGAUGGAGAACACUGACUGGUAUUGGUGUAGAGUUGGAGAACUAGAGAUGCCUGUUCACAUCACUGUCAGUCAACAAACUGCAACACAGUUGGAAGUAAAGUCCACCAUCACUGUCAGUCAACAAACUGCAACACAGAGAACCUCUAAGAUGACCUCAACAACUCAAGAUCCAACCCCUCAACAACCCUCUGCCUCUCCAACUGCUGAGCCUGUUCAGACUGACAACACAAGUCAAGGAGCUGAGGGGAACAUGGAGGAAGUCCACCAGAGGUCCAUAGAUGUGAAAGUCCUACUCAUCUCUCUGGGCAUGUUGGUGGUGGUGACAGCUGGUAUCCUAGUAACAUGGAAGAUGUGGAGAAUGCCUAAGGACAAUAAGGCCAAGGACCAGACAACAAACAACUCAGUGAGCCCAAACCCAGGGAGCCACCAUGAUUUGACAUACAGCACUGUGAUGCCUGAUCAGUUCAGGACAGAAGAGAAGGUCAACUUAUAGCUGCAAGCAUCUCGGCUCUUAGACGACAUUAUUGCUGUUAUGCAAAUGUGCAUCUGUUUUAGAAAACAAUUGUAUUUACAGUCUAAUGUUCUGUCUUGGAACAAGCAAUAGGUAAAUGUACACUAUAACAGUAUAACAACACGUUUUUGUUAUUUGGGCGUCUCUCUACCAACAGCAUCCAAUUCCUGAAGCUGAUGAUGAUGUCACAUACAGCACUGUCAUCCCCCAGCACAAGACCCAACUAAAAGGACAGACCAAGUCAGCAGAACCAGAUGAUAAUGUGGUCUACAGCUCACUAGCUCUACAGGUGACCACACAGAGGGCAGCAGCAGCACAGUAGUGACUGACAGAGAAGACCUUCCUUUUACUGGAAGGACAGAACACUCCUCUCUCCUUGGUCACAACAUCUGUCUGCCUCCAAUAUGAUUCUGUCAUACCUCUUAACCCAUCCCAGGAAGACCCCUCUAUCCUUUAGUGUAAUAAACUACUGAAGGCAGUCUGCUGUGUUUGUUCUGAUUAUCAUCACAUUUCUGUUAUUAGUUAUGUUCCACCACCUUUCCCCUUGUCUCUUAUUUCUUACAUCAUGAUCUUAUUGAUCUAGUUUAAUGUCCUAUGCCUGUAACUAAUCAUGAUCAAAUGUGUAUUAAGAUCUUAGUAUAGACAGCUACUAUGUAUAAUAACUACUGUACUGCAAUAAUAAAAUGUAUUAUAUACACUGCUCAGAAAAAUAAAGAGAACACUAAAAUAA